AUACGUAUGGAGCAAGCGUUAUCCGGAUUUACUGGGUGUAAAGGGAGCGUAGACGGCAUAGCAAGUCUGAAGUGAAAUCCCAUGGCUUAACCAUGGAACUGCUUUGGAAACUGCCAGGCUAGAGUGCAGGAGAGGUAAGCGGAAUUCCUAGUGUAGCGGUGAAAUGCGUAGAUAUUAGGAGGAACACCAGUGGCGAAGGCGGCUUACUGGACUGUAACUGACGUUGAGGCUCGAAAGCGUGGGGAGCAAACAGGAUUAGAUACCCUGGUAGUCCACGCUGUAAACGAUGAUUACUAGGUGUUGGGGACCAAAGGUCCUCGGUGCCGCCGCAAACGCAUUAAGUAAUCCACCUGGGGAGUACGUUCGCAAGAAUGAAACUCAAAUGAAUUGACGGGG
rnacentral:rRNA from 1 species